rnacentral:rRNA from 1 species
UACGAGGGGGGCAAAUGUUGUUCGGAAUCACUGGGCGUAAAGGGAGCGUAGGCGGGCUUCUAAGUUAGGUGUUUAAUCCCAGGGCCCAACCCUGGUCAGGCACCUAAAACUGGGAGUCUUGAAUAGUGGAGAGGUCAGUGGAAUUGGGGGUGUAGCGGUGGAAUGCGUAGAGAUCCCCAAGAACACCAGUUGCGAAGGCGGCUGACUGGACACAUAUUGACGCUGAGGCUCGAAAGCAUGGGGAGCAAACAGGG